CCUACGGGAGGCAGCAGUGAGGAAUAUUGGUCAAUGGUCGGGAGACUGAACCAGCCAAGCCGCGUGAGGGAUGAAGGUACAGAGUAUCGUAAACCUCUUUUGUCAGGGAACAAAGGCGGGGACGUGUCCCCGGAUGAGUGUACCCGAAGAAAAAGCAUCGGCUAACUCCGUGCCAGCAGCCGCGGUAAUACGGAGGAUGCGAGCGUUAUCCGGAUUUAUUGGGUUUAAAGGGUGCGCAGGCGGUAUGUUAAGUCAGCGGUAAAAGCCCGGGGCUCAACCCCGGCCCGCCGUUGAAACUGGCAGUCUCGAGUUGGAGAGAAGUAUGCGGAAUGCGCGGUGUAGCGGUGAAAUGCAUAGAUAUCGCGCAGAACUCCGAUUGCGAAGGCAGCAUGCCGGCUCCACACUGACGCUGAGGCACGAAAGCGUGGGGAUCGAACAGGAUUAGAUACCCUUGUAGUC
rnacentral:rRNA from 1 species